rnacentral:tRNA from 1 species
GGGGUUGUGGCUCAGUGGUACAGCACUCAUCCACCACAUGUGAGGCACUGGGUUCGAUCCUCAGCACCACA